rnacentral:rRNA from 1 species
AUUGAACGCUGGCGGCAUGCCUUACACAUGCAAGUCGAACGGCAGCACGGGAGCUUGCUCCUGGUGGCGAGUGGCGAACGGGUGAGUAAUACAUCGGAACGUACCCUGAAGUGGGGGAUAACGUAGCGAAAGUUGCGCUAAUACCGCAUAUUCUGUGAGCAGGAAAGCAGGGGACCGCAAGGCCUUGCGCUCUUUGAGCGGCCGAUGUCAGAUUAGCUAGUUGGUGAGGUAACGGCUUACCAAGGCGACGAUCUGUAGCGGGUCUGAGAGGAUGAUCCGCCACACUGGAACUGAGACACGGUCCAGACUCCUACGGGAGGCAGCAGUGGGGAAUUUUGGACAAUGGGCGCAAGCCUGAUCCAGCCAUGCCGCGUGAGUGAAGAAGGCCUCGGUUGUAAGACGUACUUUCGGUCCGGGAACGGAAAGUACG